CCUGUUCUCUGUCGACUGGUUCCAACAUGGCAACGUCCAUAUUGUGGAAAACAUAAUUUGGCUUCACUGGAGCCAAAGGAGGAUCUCUGCAGGACAAAGUUAUGAUGUUUGUGGCCCGAGGUGAAGACAUAAUAGUUUACACCGAGGACAGAGGCUGAACAGCGAGGUGCAGCGCAGAUGACAUCACCAUGUCUGCAGGAGAGGCUGGAUUUCCUCUUACCGGUAAUGAACGGCGUAGUGCUUCAUAGCGGUGUAAUGACUCCAAACCCAGAUGAUAAAGAGGAGAAAGAGGCUUCCAAAGGGACAGGAAGAACCCUUAACUCGGGACAGAAAGAGGGUCAUAAACAUAAACAUGAGCAUAACAUGAACGCGAGCUGACUCAA